rnacentral:rRNA from 1 species
UGCGUAGGCGGGUCUGGUAAGUCAGAUGUGAAAUUCCUGGGCUCAACCGAGGAACUGCAUUUGAUACUGCCAGACUAGAGUACUGGAGAGGAGACUGGAAUUCACGGUGUAGCAGUGAAAUGCGUAGAUAUCGUGAGGAAGGCCAGUGGCGAAGGCGAGUCUCUGGACAGUAACUGACGCUGAGGCACGAAGGCCAGGGGAGCAAACG